CUUUCAGAGAACACAGGGUUCCUGCAGGAAAUGGGGCAGUUUCACCUUCCUGAGGAGGGGCCUGGGAGGGGCAGCAGGUGGCCGGGUAGGGCCAGCCCAGCUGUGAGCCUGGCGUGGGAGCUGCCUAGGCCGGGCCCGGCUGGGGAGCAAGUCUGCAUCGCAGAGGCCAGGGCACAACGACCUCCCCUGGCAGCUGCUGGAUAUGUUCAACAACCGGCUGCAGGACGAGAGGGCCAACCUGACCACCUUGGCCGGCACACACACCAACAUCCCCAAGCUGAGGGCCGGCUUUGUGGGAGGCCAGUUCUGGUCCGUGUACACGCCCUGCGACACCCAGAACAAAGACGCCGUGCGGAGGACGCUGGAGCAGAUGGACGUGGUCCACCGCAUGUGCCAGAUGUACCCGGAGACCUUCCUGUAUGUCACCAGCAGCGCAGGCAUCCGACAGGCCUUCCGGGAAGGGAAGGUGGCCAGCCUGAUCGGUGUGGAGGGCGGCCACUCCAUUGACAGCAGUCUGGGCGUCCUGCGGGCACUCUAUCAGCUGGGCAUGCGGUACCUGACCCUCACCCACAGCUGCAACACGCCCUGGGCUGACAACUGGCUGGUGGACACGGGAGACAGCGCGCCCCAGAGCCGAGGCUUGUCACCCUUUGGGCAGGUGAGUGGGGUGGGAGGGGCCGGUCACCCCCAGGGAGAAGGCAGAGGCCCUGGAGGGUGACCAGAACGAUGUAUCUCUGCACGUGGGACCUCAGUCCUCGUCUGUAAAACGGAGCUGGCAGCCAUCCCCCCAGGGUGGGUGCCGAGCCCCGAGUGGCCCGGGAAUUCCAGCCAUGAAGGACGAUGACUCACAUCUGGUCCAGCCCGUCCACCGCCCCAGCCCCGACCCUGGGGGCUGUGAGGGUGGACGGAGCCCUGUCUUCCCAGCGUGUGGUGACCCCGACGCUGGGGGCUGUGAGGGUGGACGGAGCCCUGUCUUGUCUUCCCAGCGUGUGGUGAAGGAGCUGAACCGCCUGGGAGUCCUUAUCGACUUGGCUCACGUGUCUGUGGCCACGAUGAAGGCCACCCUACAGCUGUCCCGAGCCCCGGUCAUCUUCAGCCACUCCUCGGCCUACAGCGUGUGCGCAAGCCGGCGCAACGUGCCUGACGAUGUCCUGAGGCUGGUGAAACAGACAGACAGCCUGGUGAUGGUGAACUUCUACAACAAUUACGUCUCCUGCACCAACAA
rnacentral:sRNA from 1 species